rnacentral:rRNA from 1 species
UACAGAGGGUGCGAGCGUUAAUCGGAAUUACUGGGCGUAAAGCGCGCGGUAGGCGGCUUUGCAAGUCGGGAUGUGAAAGUCCCCAAGGCUUAACCUGGGAACUGCAUUCGAGACUGCAUUGCUGAGAGUAUGGGAGAGGGAAGUGGAACUGCGAGUGUAGAGGUGAAAUUCGAUAGAUAUUCGCGAAGAACGACCAGUGGCGGAAGGCGGCUCGACUGGCCCGGUACGUGGAACGGCGUGAGACGGCGAAAAGCGGUGGGAGCCGAACAGGAUUAGAAACCCCGAG